rnacentral:tRNA from 1 species
GGGCCCUUAGCUCAUAUGGUAGAGCGCCGGUUUUGCACUCCGGAGGCGAGCGGUUCGAUCCCGCUAGGGUCCACAA